rnacentral:rRNA from 1 species
AUUGGAGCUUGCUCCUGGAUUAGUGGCGAACGGGUGAGUAACACGUGAGUAACCUGCCCUUAACUCUGGGAUAAGCCUGGGAAACUGGGUCUAAUACCGGAUAUGACUCCUCAUCGCAUGGUGGGGGGUGGAAAGCUUUAUUGUGGUUUUGGAUGGACUCGCGGCCUAUCAGCUUGUUGGUGAGGUAAUGGCUUACCAAGGCGACGACGGGUAGCCGGCCUGAGAGGGUGACCGGCCACACUGGGACUGAGACACGGCCCAGACUCCUACGGGAGGCAGCAGUGGGGAAUAUUGCACAAUGGGCGCAAGCCUGAUGCAGCGACGCCGCGUGAGGGAUGACGGCCUUCGGGUUGUAAACCUCUUUCAGUAGGGAAGAAGCGAAAGUGACGGUACCUGCAGAAGGCUAACUAACGUGCCAGCAGCCGCGGUAAUACGUAGGGCGCAAGCGUUAUCCGGGAAUUAUUGGGCGUAAAGAGCUCGUAGGCGGUUUGUCGCGUCUGCCGUGAAAGUCCGGGGCUCAACUCCGGAUCUGCGGUGGGUACGGGCAGACUAGAGUGAUGUAGGGGAGACUGGAAUUCCUGGUGUAGCGGUGAAAUGCGCAGAUAUCAGGAGGAACACCGAUGGCGAAGGCAGGUCUCUGGGCAUUAACUGACGCUGAGGAGCGAAAGCAUGGGGAGCGAACAGGAUUAGAUACCCUGGUAGUCCAUGCCGUAAACGUUGGGCACUAGGUGUGGGGGACAUUCCACGUUUUCCGCGCCGUAGCUAACGCAUUAAGUGCCCCGCCUGGGGAGUACGGCCGCAAGGCUAAAACUCAAAGGAAUUGACGGGGGCCCGCACAAGCGGCGGAGCAUGCGGAUUAAUUCGAUGCAACGCGAAGAACCUUACCAAGGCUUGACAUGAACCGGUAAUACCUGGAGACAGGUGCCCCGCUUGCGGUCGGUUUACAGGUGGUGCAUGGUUGUCGUCAGCUCGUGUCGUGAGAUGUUGGGUUAAGUCCCGCAACGAGCGCAACCCUCGUUCUAUGUUGCCAGCACGUGAUGGUGGGGACUCAUAGGAGACUGCCGGGGUCAACUCGGAGGAAGGUGGGGACGACGUCAAAUCAUCAUGCCCCUUAUGUCUUGGGCUUCACGCAUGCUACAAUGGCCGGUACAAAGGGUUGCGAUACUGUGAGGUGGAGCUAAUCCCAAAAAGCCGGUCUCAGUUCGGAUUGGGGUCUGCAACUCGACCCCAUGAAGUCGGAGUCGCUAGUAAUCGCAGAUCAGCAACGCUGCGGUGAAUACGUUCCCGGGCCUUGUACACACCGCCCGUCAAGUCACGAAAGUUGGUAACACCCGAAGCCGGUGGCCUAACCCCUUGUGG